AAUGAUUUUUAAUUUUUUUCCAUUAUAGCUGGUUUACAGUGUUCUGUCAAUUUUCUACUGUACAGCAAGGUGACCCAGUCACACAUACUUUUUUCUCACAUUAUCAUGCUCCAUCAUAAGUGACCAGACAUAGUUCCCAGUGCUACACAGCAGGAUCUUAUUGCUUAUCCAUUCCAAAGGCAAUAGUUUGCAUCUAUUAACCCCAAAUUCCCAGUCCAUCCUACUCCCUCCCCUUCCCCCUUCGCAACCAUAAGUCUUUUCUCCAAGUUCAUGAUGUUCUUUUCUGUGGAAAGGUUCAUUUGUACUGUUUAUUAGAUUCCAGAUAUAAGUGAUAUCAUAAGGUAUUUGUCUCUUUCUGCCUUCACUUGUAUGAGAAUCUCUAGUUCCAUCCAUGUUGUUCUUUUUGAUGGCUGAGUAGUAUUCCAUUGUACCACAUCUUCUUAAUCCAAUCAUAUGUUGAUGGACAUUUAGAUUGUUUCCAUGUCUUGGCUAUUGUGAAUAAUGCUGCAAUGAACAUACAAGUACAUGUAUUUUUUCAAGGAAAGUUUUGUCCAGAUGUCUGCCCACGAUUACUGGGUCAUAUGGUAGUUCUCUAUUUAGUUUUCUGAGGCACCCCCAUACUGUUUUCCAUUGUGGUUGUAUCAGUUUAUAUUCCCACCAACAGAGUAGGAGGGUACCCUUUUCUCCACACCCUCUCCAGCAUUUGUUAUUUGUUGAAUUGUUAAUGGUGGCCAUUCUGACAGGUGUGAGGUGGUACCUCAUGGUAGUUUUGCUUUGCAUUUCUCUAAUAAUUAGGAUGUUGAGCAUUUUUUCAUGUGCCUGUUGGCCAUCUGUACUUCAUAUUUUAAAAAAAAUUUGAUAUUUAGAAUAUUUCUACAUGUUUAUACCAGUCUUCAUAAGUAUACUUUUUAGUGAUUAAAUAAUACUCAACAAAUGAAUGUACCAAAAUGUCCUAAAUCACUGUUUUUCAACUUUUCCAUUAUCUCUUUUUCUGUUACUAUAGGCAAUGUGCUUAUGUCCAUCUUUGGGUGUAUAUGAUUUAGUUUCUGCUGGAUUAUAGCUCUAGGAUAGAUUUCUAGGUUUGAAAUGACUGAAUCAAAAGAUGCAGUUUUGUGACUGUGUCAAAUUUUGCUAAAUUUCUUUCUAAUAUUAUGUCUAUUCAUAAUGCGUAUUAGUUAUCUACUGUUGCAUGAAAAGUUACCAUAAAAUGAAGUGACUUAAUAUAACCCACAUUUAUUAUCUCACUGUUUCAGUGGGUGGGGAUCCAGGCAUGGCUUGAAUGUGUCCUCUGCUUCAGGAUGUCACAGGCUGCAAUAGAGGUGUCGACAAAGGCUGGGGUCUCAUCUGAAAACUAGACUGAGAGAGGAUUUUCUUCCAGGUUGUCAGGAUUCAGUUCAUGGUGGGUUGUUGGAUGGAGGGCCUCUCUGCUUAGCUGGCUGUUGGUCAGAGGCCACCCUUAGCUCCUUGCCACAUGGGCCUCCCCAAUAUGGUGACAUACUUCAUCAAAGCAUGACUCCGAGAAUAUACCAUCCUGCUAGCAAGACAAAGGUCACAAUUUUUGUAACAUAAUCACGGCUGCCUUAUUCUGUUUUUAUUUUUGGUUUUUGUUUUUUUAUAGCCACACCUGGGGGAUAUGGAAGUUCCUGGUCUGCUUAUUGAAUCUGAGCCACAGCUGCAGCAAUGCUGGACCCUUUAACUCACUGUGCUGGACAGAGGAUUGAACCAGUGCCUCCGCAGCGACCUGAGCCUCUGCAGUUGGAUUCUUAACCCUCUGUGGCACAAAGGAACAAGAAUAAGAAGCUCCCUUAUUCUUGUUUUGAACCAAGAGAUAGUGGAGAGAGGAUGACGCAAGGCUAAGGACACCAGAGCAGGGAUCACAGGGGCCACCUUGGAGGCUGCCUCCUACAAAUGUCAAAAGGGCAUACACUGAUGCCAGUUUUACCUCGACCUCACCAACACAGAAUGUUCUAGAACUUAAAAAUGACUGGUAUGGUAGGUGGAAAAACUGGUGUCCGGUUCUACUGCUGUCUCCCUUUGGGCCACCUGGGUCCCUUGCUCCCAAAUGCUGCCAAGUGAUCCCCCAAAAGUUGUCCACUGAGAGCAAAGUAAGGAACUGCUCACACCCCACCCCCACCCCUUGCACCCUGCGUGAGGCAGCAGAGUUCCUUGAGAGGGAUGCAGCCUCAAGAAAUGGAUGGUGUUUGGGCAGCAACUCCCAGACCUGAACACCCUGGUACCACCUGGAAGCACCAACAUUUAGGAGCCAGCCUUCUUUGAAGGCUUUCACUAUAAACUCUCUCUGGAAUUCACGUUUUGCAAAUUUCAUUGCCAAAACAAUGCUGUAUGAUACACAUUAAUUCCCCAUUUUACAGAUAGGAAACACAGCACCAGAGGUGGGAAAUUACUUGUUCAAGGCCACUCUGCUGAAGUGGCAGGUCCGGGGUUUGGAGCCACAGCAAGCUGCCCACUCUGUGUUCCCCCUCUGUCUCCUUAGGUCCCCUUGUCCUCAGCUGGGGCCUCCUAAGGCUUCAAAACACCCCACCCUUCUGCCCCACCCCCACUCAACACUAAAUAUGAUAGAAGGGGGGGGUCCCUUUCUCUUAGUUAGCUGAAAGGGGUUCCAGAAGUUUCUGCUCAGUUUCCAUUGUUUCCUAAUAAAAAAGCUGAGCUGGAGAGUCACCUCUAACCAGCAUGAGAAGAAAGCUCUGGGGGCCACAGUCCAAGUCUGCCCCCUGGAAGCCUCAGGAUAAAUAGGGUAGCAUAAAUUCAGGGUUUUGAGGAUGGAAUAGGGAGCUGGAGUGCCAGCUUCAAAUCCUAGUUCUGCCACUUACAAAGCUUUAUGAUGUGGGACAAAUUUCUUCACCUUUCUGUACUAUUUGCUUGCCCUCAAAAUCAAAAUAACGCAACCGGAGUUCCCACUGUGGUGCAAUGGGAUCAGUGGCGUCUUGCGAGCACUGGGACACAGGUUUGAUCCCCGGUCUGGUACAGUGGGUUAAGGAUCCAGCAUUGCCAGAGCUUUGGCUUAGGUCACAACUGCAGCUCAGAUCUGAUCCCUGGCCCAGGAACUCCAUAUACCGUUGGAUGGCCAAAAAAAUAGAAAAAAAAAAAAUCCAAUAUAACUAACUACAUGUUCCAAUUUGGGGAUAAGUUUUUUUGGCCAUGACUGUGGACUGCAAAAGUCCCCAGGCUAGGGAUCAAACACAUGCUGCAGCAGUGAUGAUGCUAGAUCCUUAACCACCAGGCCACCAGGGAACUCCCCAGGGAUAAAUUUUUAAACUACCUCUAAGAGCCUAGCAGUGUCUAGUGCCCAAUAAAAUCCCCAUAAUAUUACUAGGAAUGGAGUGGGCAGGUCUCACCAGGUGAGGACCUAUGCCUCCAUCUGGGACCCAUCUCUGACAGGUGUACACGUGGGGAGCAGGAUCCCAUGGGUAUGGGCUGAGCUCCAGGCAUGGCUGUACAGAGCCCUGUGUUGCAGACACUGGCUGGUGGGGACAGAGAAGGUGGAGCCUGCUAAGGUUAGGGGUGCGCAGGGCCAGCACAGUGACCCUGGGACUCCCCUCCUUGUACUGGGUCUGGAUGUAACUGUACGUGUGUGUUUUGGGGGACGUGAACUGAAGUUUGGCACCUCCCAUCAGCCUCAAUAUGGAUUAAGUCAUGAGCCAUGGCAGCUGUCGACGAGAAACACCUCCUGAGCAGAGCACAGGGUGAAAAUCAGGAGUGAGACACUCUGUGCACUGAGAAAACUGGCAGAACAGGUCUUCAGACAGAUAUUUUGAGGAGACUUUAGGAGCCCAAUCCUUGCAUCUCCUCGUAUCUAGACAAACACUAAAAUCCUUCAUGGUGAUGUCUGCUCCUCGUGACUAGCAGUAACCUUCACGAGACCAGCAGCAAGUUUUGUAAAAUGGCUGCAUGCAUCUCUCUCCUCACCUUUUAACAAACACUGAUAUUAUUUCCCCCUGGCUCUUCGGGGCUGUAUUUCAGAGCUAUCUAAAUACUGCAGCCAGGGCUUAGUUAAGUCAAAACAAAGGAUGCCACAGUCAUCUUCAAAUGCAGCCACCUCCAAGGGUGAACAGUGAGUCCUGAAGCAACUCAGGAAGGAAACAAAGAAUACCUGCCACCUAGCAGCCAUCAGAUUGCAGCUAUUCCUAACUGUGAGCCCUAAGGAAACUCAGGCUGUGAAAACUGAGGAUGCUGGCCCUGAUAGUGGAUGUGCAUAUCAAAGGAAGGAUUUCAGCAAGCCCAGGCCUCUUUGGUUCUUGCUACCUGCGCUUUGCUGCAAAACCCCCUAUAUAUCUUAGCUCCCCUCCUUGCCUCCUUGGAGCGGUUUCUCAGGGCUAUCUGAGAUGCCGCCUCCCGGGCUUAAGUCCUAACUUUGCCUCAAAUAAAAUCUAACUCUCAACUUUCAGGUUGUGCUUUUUUCCCCCCAGGUCGACAGGGGGUGGGGGUGUAUUGGCGCAUUGACACAGCUCUGAGAACCAUGGGCAUGUGGGGGACAUGACUCAAUAGAACAAGUUCUCUAGGGACCCCAGGGCAGAGAACUGAUGAUGGAGGCAGGUGGCUGGCACCUGAGAGGGAAAGAUGCAGGACAACGUUUAUAGGCUAACUUCCUGCCACCUGGCCCAUCUGCCAAGCCCUAGAACAUGGUUUUUAAUCUUUCUGGGAUCAACCCCUGCAAGAGCACAAAAUGUCACAAAGUUUGGGGGGGUCAUCUUCCCCUAAAGCCUCGGGGUCCCUGGUGCCCUAACAAAUAAUCUGUGCUCUAGAGGAAGUCACCCCCAAUUGUCCUGGUUUCCCCAGUGAAGCUGGCAAUCAUGGAAGACUGAGGCCAGGCCAGGCCUUUGGACAGUCCCAAUGUGGGAAGGUAGGACAGGGUCACAGGCGAUUGACAAUGGCCUUGCCCAGCGCAGCCAGCCAGCAGGACUGUAAUUGCUCAGACUCUAAGGAGCUGGGCCUAUGUCUGUCGGAGCAUAAGGGCGUUGCUCAUUUAUUCAUGAAUGUGGAGAGCCUCAGUCCAGAGCUGUGAACAGGACACACAACCCUGUCCUUGCAGACAGUACAUUUUGGUAGAGGGGAGGCUAAAUCAUGGUCCCUAAAAUGCUUAAUUAUGGUUGGCAGCAGAGGCUAGGAAGAGGUACAAGGCAUGAUGGGGCGGGUUCCUGGAGUCAGUCCCUGAGGAUCCCUGCAGGAGGAGCCCUAAGAACCAAGCAGAGGGCAGGCCGGGAGAGCACCCCAGACUGAGCUAGAGGUGGACAGGUCCCUGGGCUGGGAACAGCUGGGACUUGCCAGGCUGAGUAAACUGGGUCUUGUUUCUUUUUGACACAUCAAGGAGAAAGUUAGGAGUUCCCGUCGUGGCGCAGGAACCAUGAGAAACCAUGAGGUUCCGACUAGGAACCAUGAGGAACUCCUCCUUCUUGCUCUCAACAGGGAGCAAGAAUCAGGGAAAUUCUGCUUCUAGCCUCUAGCUGGUCUAGCAGCUAGGAUUCCUGGUUUUCACCCAACCUGCCCAGGUUCAAUUCCUGAGCAGAGAAUUAGAUUUUGAUUUAAACCAUCACUCACUGCUGCCUCUCCAAGACCAAGAUGAAGGCCUGUGUGGGCAGGUGGGGAGGCAGGGAGGCAGCCAAGGAGGUCAGACUCCACAAAGCAUGGGUCACAGGGUGGUCACAGAGCCAGCAGACCCAGGCUUGAAGAUGCAGUUUUGGCCAAAAGCAAAGGGAUGCCUGCAAAGGGUUUUAAGCAGGAGAGAACUGAACCAGACCUGCACUUCCAAUAGUUUCCCUAAGAGAGGUGGGGAGAAUGGCCAGGAAGCCCAAGUGAGGAACAGCCUGGGGCCAAGGGGGUGGGUGUAGAUGGAGCUGAAAGACUAUGGGCAGCAUCAGCCCACUGUCGACAACCCAGCAGGAAAGCAGGCCACCCCUGCCAGCUCUCUCCAUUCAUGAUCUUCUGCAGGGACAGUGGGUCACAGAUGAGUGGGCCUCCCAGGACAGCUCUGUGCCUUCCCUGGGUGUGGCCUAAACCCUCUGUCCCCAGUUACACUGGCACUAGGUCUGAAUCCUUCAACUCUUCCAGAGAAAACAUAAUCACCAGCAAAGAAGAAUACAAGAAUGGCCUGAAAAGAUGCUCAGCAUGGCUAUUAGAGAAACACAAAUCAAAACUAUGAGGAGUUCCCAUUGUGGCCCAGUGGGUUAAGGACCUGGCACUGUCUCUAUGAGGAUAUACGUUCGAUCCCUGGCCUUGCUCAGUGUGUUAAGGAUCCAGGGUAGGUUGCAGAUAUGGCUCAGAUCUGGUGCUGCUGUGACUGUGGUGGGGGUUGCAGCUGCAGCUCCAAUUCAACCCCUGACCCAGGAAUUUCCAUAUGCUGUAGGUAUGGCAUAAAAAGGAGAAAAAAAAAAAAACCCAAAAAGUACAAAGAGAUGCCACCUCACAUGGGUCAAAAUGGCCAUCAUCAAAAUGUCUACAAAUAAGAAAUGCUGGAGAGUGGAGAAAAAGGAAGCCUCCUAUACUGUUGGUUGGAAUGUAAACUGGGGCAGCCACUAUGGAGAACAGUAUGGAGGUUCCUCAAAAAACUAAAAAUGCAGUUGUCAUAUGAUCCAGCAAUCCCACUCCUAGGCAUAUACCCAGACAAAACUUUCAUUUAAAAAGAUAUAUGCACCCCUAUAUUCAUAGCAGCACUAUUCACAGUAGCCAAGACAUGGAAACAACCUAAAUGCGCAUCAACAGAGGAGUGGAUCAAUAAGAUGUGAUACCUGUACACAAUGCAAUACUACUUGGUCAUAAAAAGAAUGAAAUAAUGCUAUUUGCAGCAACUUGGAGGGACCUAGAGAAUAUCAUACUAAGCAAAGUAAGUCAGAAAGAGAAAGACAAGUAUCACAUGAUUUCACUUAUAUGUGGAAUCUAAAACAUGGUCCAGGAGUUCCCAUUAUGGCUCAGUGGGUUAAGAACUCAACAAGCAUCCAUGAGGAUGUGGGUUUGAUCCCUGGCCUCACUCAGUGGGUUCAGGAUCUGGCGCUGCCACAAGCUGUAGGUUACAGACAUGGCUCGGAUUGGGCAUUGCUGUGGCUGAGGAAUAGACCAGAGGCUGAAGCUCCGAUUUGACCUCUAGCCUUGGAACUUCCAUAUGUUGCACAUGCAGCCCUAAAAAAAAAAAAAAAAA
rnacentral:lncRNA from 1 species